GCCUGCGUGAAGUCGGAAUCGCUAGUAAUUGCAGGUCAGCAUACUGCAGUGAAUUCGUUCCCGGGCCUUGUACACACCGCCCGUCACACCAUGGAAGCUGGUCACGCCCGAAGUCGUUACCCCAACUGUUCGCAGAGGGGGAUGCCGAAGGCAGGACUGGUGACUGGGGUGAAGUCGUAACAAGGUAGCCGUACCGGAAGGUGUGGCUGGAUCACCUCCUU
rnacentral:rRNA from 1 species